rnacentral:lncRNA from 1 species
CCCCUUUCGGGUGAUAUUGCUGGUCCGAGUUGGGACGGUUCGGGAGGUGCGUGUCUUAGCGAGCGAUAGAGCUUUUGAACCCGUCCAUUUGGUUUAAUUCUUAACUCAGUCUCUUUUAUUAAAUGACUUAGAAGUAAUUAUGGUUUAGUAUUUUAUGUGAAUUGAAUAAUUGGGAUUUCGUGAAUGUAAUAAAGGAUUUAUGUUUUUUGCAAAAUAAAAGUGGUUUUCUACCCCUCGAGGUAGUUGCUUUUAAAGAAAGAGAGUUUUCAUGUGGGAAACGAGUUUUAAAAAGUUUUCUUGGUUUUUAUGACUCAGUGCUUUUAAAAUGAGUUUCCGGGUAGGAAACAUUUUAAACUGAUAGAUGUGGAUUUAUGGAUAUUCGUUAACUGAAAUAAAUGUGGUUGUGAAUGGUGAAUGGAUAUGGAUGAUCAUGUACUGUGGUUGUAUCUUGUAGCAUGUAUAUUGUAUCUUGUACUUGUGCGACGCCGUGCAAAUACAGGGGAGACUCUGUCCGUGUAAACAGUGGACUCCCUAUAUUUGUGGCGGAUCUGGCAUACCUUGGGGGUCAAGGUUUUUUUUAUAAAAAAAAAUUUGGGCACUUCCGCAUUGUCUUUUAAAUCAAAAAGGGACCCCGGGGCGUGACACAAAUCCCUGGGCCUUUUGCUAAGUUUCUGGAGCAGUGCGGAAUUGUUCCACAGUACACCAUGCCAAGGAUACCAUGAUCAAAAUGGUGUUGCUGAAAGAAGGAACUGCACAUUAAUUGAUAUGCUUAGGAGUAUGAUUAGUAAUUCUACCCUUCCGAUAUCAUUGUGGAGUGAGGCACUCAAAACUGCCCUGUAUAUUUUUAAUCGGGUCCCUACUAAGGCUGUCACUAAGACUCCCUUUGAGCUUUGGAUAGGUAGGAAACCCAGUUUAAGAUAUUUUCAUACAUGGGAUUGUCAAGCUGAAGCCAAAUUGUAUGACCCACAAAUAAAAAAAUUGGACCUUCGAAUCAUAUCAGGAUAUUUUAUUGGUUAUUUAGAAAGGUCCAAAGGGUAUAAGUUUUAUUGUCCAUCACUUCCUAUAAAAAUUGCAGAAACUAAAACAGUACGAUUUAUUGAGGAUGAUGCAAUUAGUGGGGACUCUGAAUCUCGGUUCAUUGAAUUUGAGAAAAUUCAAGAGCAUUCAGAUUCUAUACAAGACAAAACCACUAUUGUUCCUCACGAUUUGAUAGUUCAUGUUCCAAUAGAACAACAAAUUGUUUUGAAACCACAAAGUGAUUGUGAACCUAUCAUUGAUGUACAACUGGAUAAUUCACAUCAAGAUGUACAAGUGAAUAAUCCACAUUAAGAUGUAAAUAUGGAUAAUCAGAUAGAUUUAAGAAGAUCGUCAAGCCAGGGAAGACCGGCUGUAUCUAGUGAUUAUAUUAUCUAUCUUUAAGAGAAUGACCAGAGACUAGAUGGUCCUUUUAGUUUUUUCGAAGUCAUAAAUAGUAGUAAUUUUACGGAAUGAUACAAUGUCAAGAAGGAUGAGAUUGAAUCCAUGAACCACAAUAAGAUAUGGAAUCUUGUUGAGUUACCUAUAGGAGUUAAACCCAUAGGAUGUAAGUGGGUUUAUAAAACCAAAAUGGAACUCCAAAGAUAACAUAGAGAGAUACAAGACCCGUCUUAUGGCAAAAAAAAUUACGCAGAAAAAAGGCAUUGACUAUAAAGAGACUUUCUCUCCAGUUUCUAGAAAGAAAUAUUUUCGUAUACCGACCGUCCCUAUAGCAAGUUGCAAACGGCUUGGUGGUUGGUACCCAAGACCCAAGUUCGAAUCCUAAUUGAUUCAUAUUUCCAGCUAAGUUUAUUUCUAAAUGAAAUAAACGAAGUGGGUACGUGCUACCUAUCUCUCAAAAAAAAAAAAAAAAAAUUCUUUCCGUAAUAUUAUGACUCUGGUUGCUCAUUUUGAUCUCGAGCUACACCAGAUAGAUGUCAAAACUACCAUUUUAAAUGAUCAAUGCUAGUUGUGGCCAUUUUUAAAAUAGAUGAAAAGAUAUUUAAUAUUUUUUAUUAUAUAUAUUAUUAAUAUAUAAUAAUUACUAUUCUAUAUAAUUAUUAUUAUAAUUUCUAUUUAUACAUUAAAUAUAUCUAAAAUUAUAAUAAACAUAUUACAUAACAUAUAAGAGUUAUAUAUUUAGGAAUAUUAAUAAAUAAUUACAAAUUCAUAAAUAAUAUAAGAGUUAUAUAUUUAGGAAUAUUAAUAAAUAAUUAUAAAUUUAUAAAUAAAAUAUUAUAUAAUAAUAUCUCUAUAUAAAAAUAAAAUACAUAUACAUAGAAAUAAAUAAUAUAUAAUAAAUAAAUAAAUAAAAUAAUAAUAAAUAUAUAAUAUAUUAUAUCUAUAUAUAUAUACUUAUAAUAGAGAGAGAGAGAGAGAGAUGAGAGAGAGAGAGAGAAAGAUAAAGAAGAGAGAAGAGAGAGGGGUACUGGCUGGCUAAUUCAGACACACAGCUUUGUGGCUACAACUUCUAACCACCCCAUCAAAAAUUGAUGUGGUUAGAUGAGAGAGAAAGAGAAAUUGGGAAGAAAUUCAAAAUGAGAGAAUUGAGACACCCAAAUUUCUUCCCAAUUUUCUUCCUCUCUAAUUCAAACCAUCCUUUAUCAAAAUUGAUUGAUGGUUAUAAAUUGGAGCAUCAAGCUACUGUGCUCCCUAAUACCAGACAGUAGAACUGCCUAUAUAAUAUAGAGAAGCGCUACCUGGUAAAUUAUCGUAUAGUACGAUAGGCCUCCGUAGUACCUAAGUGUUUUCAUGAUGAGCUUCCAAUUGCUAUCACUCCGUUAGACCGUUGAUAACACAUUAAAAAUAUUUGAAAACUAAAUGUCAUAAUUUUUUGGACAACAUUUGGCUAAUGAUCAAAAGGUUUCAAAAUUGACAAUUUUAAUGUAGAUGUGAUGCAUGUUGUUAAAUUAAUGGUGUAAUACAAUCAAUCUAAUUAAUUUUAUAAAAAAUUCUUUUUACUAUUAGAGUAAGAUCAGUACAUCUGAUAUGUAAUUCAAGUCUUUAAUCAUCAUUUUUUUGAAAUUUUUAUUUCAACCGUUCAUAUAUAGUAUAUAUUAGAGAGGAGGAGAGAAGAGAGUUGUGGCUGGUAGCUAUGGAACACGGAGGCCUCACGUGUUCCAAGUCAUUUUGAUGUCGGACUUUCGAAUCGACGAUCAGUCUUAAUUUAGAGUUGAUCUAGAGUAUUGAAAGUACCUUAGAAAAUAUAAUUUUCCGAUUUUCGAUAUCAUUAUGCCAUGAUCGAGAGGCUCAAAACAAUAAUUUCUAAACAGGCCGCGUGUGACCGGAUGUGCGAAAGUUAAAACGGUGUGAAAUUAUGCAAAUAACAUAAAUUUUGAUAGAAAAUUCUUUAUACCAUAUAAAACAAUACUAAAACUUGAUGCUAAAAUUUUAAUGUCAUAUCACAUAUUGGUAAGAUUUUAUUUUCUAGCCGUUGAUUUGAACCUUCUUGAUCACUCUAAGCAAAUAAUCUGAAAAAUUAACAAAAUUUAUUUCUAGAUACUUCAAAUACUCUACGAUAAGUUUAACGGAGACCGGAUUGUCGAUUCAAGAUUCCGAACAUACAAAACAAAGUGGAAUGCACGGAUGCCGCUCCGUGCUUCAUAAGCAUCCUAAGCCGACCUAUAUAUAUAUAUAUAUAUAUAUAUUAUUAUAUAAUAAAUAUAUAUAUAUAUUAUAUAUAUAAGUCAUAAUUUAUAGUCAGUCUAACAUUGUAGCACGGAGGCUUCCGUGCUACGGCAAGUUUUUUCGAUGGACUGCGGCCGUUCAAAGUUCGAGCGAUCGGCAUACUAUAGACUUUGAUCUACAAUAGGAAAAUAUUUGGAAACGCUAAAUUUAUAAAUUUUUCGAAUCAUUUGGCUAGUGAUCAAAAGGUCUAAAUUGACAAUUUUAAUGGUAGACUGUGAUGCAUUUGAAAAUUUAACCUGUGUUAAACAUAAUCCAAAUCAGAUAAAAUUUUAUACGAAAUUUUUUUACAUUUAGAGAAGAUCAGUACCUCUGAUUUAAAUAUAGUCCUCUCAUCAUCAUUUUUUAUAUAAUUUUUAUUUCAGCCGUGUUCAUUUUUCAGACGUACUCGUCUUUGAUUAGGUAAUGAAUCAAAUGAAAUUAUGAAUUAGUUCCAAAUAUUUCAAAUAUGUAGAAUUCAAGUCUAACGGAGCCGAUCUGUCGAUUUGGAAAGCGGCAUCAUGAAAACACUUGUAGCACAGAAAUGUCGCGCGUAAUCCGAUAAUAUAGACUAAGCCCUGCUCCUCUUCUCUCUCUCCUCUCUCUCCUCUUCUCUAUAUAUAUAUAGAUAUAUAUUAUAUAAUUAUAUAUAAUAAGUAUAUAUAUAUAUAUAUAUAAUGAGAGGGAGGUCCAGGACCUCCCUCUCACGCUGUCCAGGAGGCCAAAGUGGCCUCGUGGACCGCGUAAAAAAAUUUACCAUAAGCCACGAUUUUGUUCGCUCCCCAUUUUCGUUUUCCGCAAUGCUCGCACCAAAAAUGAAAGCAAGCGUUUUACCCCAAAUAUGUAAAAUUAGUUUUCAUGGAAAAAUUUUUUACGUAGAAUCAAACGAUCGGCAAAUUAUUUUUUCAUUAAAUUUUUUUUUUCCACCCACUUUUACAUCAAACCAAACACACCCUAAAUGCAUAAAAAAUUUGUAAAUAACAAAUUAUCAAGAAGAAUAAUCUUUAAGUCCUUCAAAUACUUUUCUUUUCAAUAAUGGUUGCGAUUGUUGUUACCUAGAGGAGGAGCAAAUGUGUAACGCUGAGGGCGGUGUCGCCAACAUGAACACUAGGUGAAGGUUGAGGCCAGCCUCUACUACGAGGGAGGGGGUUUAAAGGAAUAGAGGAUGAGGAGGAGGCGGAGAGGAGGGGAGGGGCUGGGUGAGCAAGGGGUCAGGGUACGUAUGGCGCGAAGCAAAAGGUGAGAGAGAGAUAUGGAGAUGGAUAUAUAUAUAUAUAUAUUGUAAUAUACCGAAAAUUCGGAAAAUAAAAUAUCGAACUUUAGUCAAAGUGACCAAAGUGCGAGGACGGUACACUUCGAAAAAUCCGAAGGUGUUAAGAUGAGUAAAAGUGUGUUGUGGAAGGUUUUCGAGAGCUAAAGAAAUGAAUUCUGCAAAACUGCAGAUUUUCAGCUCUCGGGGACCGGUCCCUGGUGGGUGAGACCGGUCCCCGAACGCGUAUGGAAUGAGACAGCUGAAAAAUCGGCUAAGUCCUGAGAGAGUAGCUCUCGGGAACCGGUCCCUGUCCGAGAGACCGGUCCCCGAGAGACCGGUCCCACAAGGGGAGACCGGUUGCACUGCGCGCAGCAGCUCUGGCUGCGCUGGGACGACGUUCGGGAACCGGUCCCUGAAGGAGAGACCGGUCCCUGCCUGCGCGAUCAGCCCAGGUCGGGCAGUGCAUUAAAGUGAAAGUUGAGGGGUUUUAUUGCAUUUUUGCAACCCAUUGAGCUAUGUUAGUGGGUUGAGGGGCUUUUCCUCUCAUUUCCUCACCCUCUCACACUCUCUUCUCUCCCUCUCUCUCUCUAGAAGACAAAAGAGAAGAAGAAGAAAGGAAGAAAAGAAGGAAAAGAAGAGGAAGAAAGUGAAGAAGAAGACAAGGAGAAGAAGAAACUCCCUCACCCUCAUCUCUAGCUUGGAAAAGGAGCAAGUUUAGAGGUAAGCUUUGCCUCUUCUCAUGCUAAACUCCCAAACUAGGGUUUUGGAAAACCUAGAAGUGAUUUUAAUGGAGUAUUUAGAGUCUUGGAAGCUUUCUUUUUGCUUCUUUUGAGAUCAAGACCAUGAAAAUGGUGAAGCUUGAGGUGAGCUUCAUCACCUCUCAUGGUGAAACCCUAAGUAGGGUUUUGAUUUGUCUAAAGAUGGUUCUAAUGGACUUUUUAGAGUAUAAUGAAGCUAUUUUUGCUUCUCUUUGAGAUCAAACCCUAGGUUUGAUAUGUGUAUUGGAGCUAGGGCACCAAAUUGGGGCUUUUGCUCAUGAGGGUUUCUAAAUGAAAUUGACCCUUCAAAAACCUAAUUGGGGGUAUUUCCGACGCAUUGGUGCACUCGGAAUAACGUUACGAAAAGCCAAAGUAAAGAUAUGAGCAAAAUAGCCUAAUAGGGCUUCGUUUUGCCGCAGGUAAAGAACGAAAGGUCUAAAAAUCCCAAGAAAAUCAUCGGAGCACCUUUGAAAGCCUACGAGGUGGGUGGUGCUUCUCAAACUCAUUGAACUUCUCUCUAUGCCUAAUGUGUCAUUCAUUUGAGCAUGUGUACUAUAUUGUUGCAUGCAUAUUAGGGUAAAGUAAUGAUAAGAAUGUGAUGAUAGCAUGAUUGUGAGUACAACUUGCUUAUAAUGAUGGUAGAGAACCAAAUAAAUGUCAAAACCCUAAGUGUAUGCAUUAGAGAAAAUGUGAGCACCCAAAGUGAGCAAAAGAACCGAGUGACACUAUGACAUAGAUCGAGUGGCAUUUGAAAAUGUAAAGUAAAGAGACACUAGAGUUAGUGUGAUGCAAAGAACUAAUGUGAUGUAAAGAAUAAUGAAAAUGACAAUGUGUAAUGUUAAAGUAAAGUGGAGCAAUAAGAAUAAGAAAUGUAUGGACAAGAAUGCUAGAGCUAGCAAAAGUAAAGAAAUGUAAAGAAUGUGAUUGCAUGAGUUUGCAACAUAAAGUGAUGUAAAGAACACUAGAGCUAGUGUAAAGUCAAGAUUGAACUUAUAAAUCCUUUGAGUUAAGGAUAUGAUCAUACUUGCUAUGAGUUCCGUGCUCGAGGGCGGUCGCUCCCCCUCGGGCGAUGCGCUCCGGAGUUAUGCAUCCGGGUUGGAGUAAACCCGUAAGGACGGUCCUAGCUGGUGAGUUCCUGCGAUGAUGGACUUAAUGUGAAGCAAGUUAAUGUGGCGAAACCUCCGGGUUAGCCUUGAGAUUAAAGAACAAAGAACAAAGAGCAAAGAAUAAAGAACAAAGUACAAAGCAAAGUUAAAGAACGAAUGAGUUUGCAUAAUCUGCAUAUAUUUAAUGUUGAGCAUACUUCUUGCUAUUCGUUCAGGCAUAUUAGCAUCAUGUUAUAGACUGGUUACUAUAUCCUGCUUAUUCUUCUAUUAUGCCUGAGUUAGUCCUAGUGGGAAAGUCGGUGAUGUUGAGGCCGAACCCACUGGGAACUUUGUUGUAGUUCUCACCCCACUAUUUCCACAGAGCCGGGACCGAGCGAGCCGGCGAGUGACCGAGGUAAAGGUAUCGCGCCUUAGUCAGAGGCCACCACAGUUGGGUUCAUUUUGUAGUAAAGUACCCUAUGCUCAUCUUUUGUACUUGACGAUGAAUGAUGUAAAGAAAAGAAUGUAAUGUGUAUUUUGAGGUAAUUGUAAUGUAAGAAAGAAUCCUAAAUGUAAGAAAUGGAUGCAAUGUAUAUGAUCUAAAUUGAAUCAUAGUACUUAUAAAUGUUUAGUUUUUCUUUUUUUCACUAAUGGCUAUUGCUUACCCUCGUGUAAGCCGUUUAUGUAUGUUUCCGCUAGUGCUUUUCUCUAUUGAUGAAAAUGUGCAUGUGAUGAGCCUUGGGCGGAUAGGGGAAACUCUGUCCGUUCGGCGUCUGUUUGACGUGCUCGGGUCGGGCCAAAUUGGUUUCGGUCCCGGGGCGUGACAUAUAUAUAUAUAUAUAUAUAUAUAUAUAUAUAUAUAUAUAUAUACUGGAGCUCUGAUACUAUAGUCAUAUUUUGUAAGGACUGAGAUUUUGACAGUAUAGCUAAACUCUCUGUUGAUGAUGUUUUUGUGUGUAUUUUAAUUACACACGCACUCAUCAAGUUUCGGGAGAAAACGAGUCAGAACGGAGAUUUUACGCGAUCUUUAGUUUUCACUUAAAGUGAAUAGUAACCUGGUUUUCCGGAGAGGCCACUGAGUAGAGUUGGUUUCCGGCGCGUAUCAGACUCCGUUCAUAGCGAUCCAAUAGCUCGUUUCGAACGGUUCAGCUAUUCUGGAACCAUUGGCGAUGACGGAUUUCAGGUUUUACGCACGGAUUUCGAGAAAUCUGAAAAUACAUGUAUUAUAUGUAUUCGUGUGUAGUUUCGCUGUUUGGAGAGAGAAUAGGUUUUGUCGCAAAUUCGUGACCAAACGAGGCGAAACGAAGUUGUGGUUUUGUUGUCUCUGUCGUGCUGAUCGCACUAGUGUGAUCCGUUGGCGAAUCUGACGAAUGGAUCUCCUGAUUUCGCGCGUUGAUCUGGGAGGGGUCAUUAAUGGCAAAACGGUAAUUUUGCGAAAAGCGCUGCAUUUUAUGUACCGUUUUGCAUGAAAUCGAAUGUGGAGGUGUAUUAGCGCAUUUUACUCGCGUGGUGAGGGACUCAGAUUAAAAUAUCCAAGUUUGGUGGACUUUAUAUGCAAUUAUGCUAUAUAUAUAUAUAUAUAUAUAUUUGUAUCUAGGGUAAACAUCAUGAAAACCCUAGCCCUCCUCAGCUUAGUUGAUCCCUCGGCCGCCCCUCCUCCCUCACCUCAUGUGCAGCGGGCCUUCCGGUGGCUGCUGACCGAACUCCGGUCAGCCACUACCUCCUCAGCCACUUUUCAUCCUCCCCCUCUCUUGUUUUCCACCAUCUUCUCCACCAAGCUUGAACCCGAGCUUAAGGAGGACUCAAACCCUCCUCCCUCGGCCGCCCCAAUCUCCCCUCGGCCUCUGGAGGUCAACCGCCGUCGAACCCAAGCUUCCUUGGCCGCCGCCGCCACCAUUGUUGCCAUUGCUACCACCUCGGGCUAGUCGAGACCUGUUAGUACGUAUGUAUCUCGGCGGACCUCGGAAGUCCUCGGUUUGCCUUAACGAGCCACAUAAUCACUCGAUUUAUAUAAAAUGAUAGGAUUUUAUGUAAAUGUAGGGAUUUUUAUGCAAUUGUGCACCUUGUGGCUACUGUGGGCAGUGCGUAUGUGUCGAAAUAGACACUUCCGGGAACCCAGAUCCGAACAAUUAUCCGACGAUAAUUGUUUGUUUGUGUUACCUUGUGUUUGCUGCCAAGACAUCCAAAUCAAUGUGUUUUGUGGCAGCGGGUGACUCGUGGCACGAGUCAGUGUGUUUUGGGACACUUAGUGGGUCCUGACGGUGUCCCAGUGUGAUUUUCGAGACUUUCGGCGAGUUACGGUGAUCGAUUUUGGGAAACUGAUUUUCGGGGAUUUGUGUAGGGGUUUGUGAGUCGUGUACUUUGGUUUGAUGGGUUGGAUACUGACCCGGUGGCUCUUCGUAGGUCUGGUUGACUCGUUGCGUACCCAGGUUUUCAACACAAUAGUGAUAGGUGGGUGCUUCGAGUUGGUAGUCGGUGAGAUCGUUUCGCUUUCCUCUCCUUUGCUCUUAUAUAUCAGUACUUGGGUCUCUACAUGUCAGUUACUUUGGUUUAUCAUUCGUAUCUAUAUCUUGUUGAUUACAUGACAGUAGUUAUUGAUAGACAUGGAGAGCAGGCUUGCAUAUGUUGUAUAUCUGUGGACCUUGGGUCCAGGCAACACAUCGACUCCUUUGUCAUGUGUUUCGAUCUAGUUGAUCGUGGUUCGGCGUUGUAUGCCCUUGCAUCUGGCUUCGGCCAAGGCACCGGUCUUCUUGCCGGUUUUUGUAUUGAGCAUAUCAGUAUGAUUUAGUCACAGCAUUGUGUAUUCUAGACAGCGGUUGGUUUGGCCACCAACUAGGCGGUGUACGUAUCCGGAUAGGUCGUCGGUGGACGCAUGAAUCAUUGGCAGUGUCUGCUCUGUGACAGGCAACGAUUGAGGUCUGCAGACCAAUAUAGCAGCACCAGAUUGGGUUUGAUUUUGAACUAUUUACCCUUGAGGCAUCCUUUCAGUUGAGUUUUUGUUACAGUAGUAGUUUCGUUCUCACUCAUUUACUAUCAUGUUUCUAGUAAUACUAUAGUUGCUUUUAUAUCAUACCAUGUACAUAUCUAUUGUUCAAUCUCCUUUGUUUUUCAGUGAAUACGAUUUGCCUUUGUCGCUCUGUCGUACCCACUGGGAAACCUUGAUUGCGAUUUCUCACCCCCCAUUUUCCCAGGUGACUAAGGCAAGGAGUUGGCAUUGAGCACGACGAGAAGACGUACUAGCUAGACCGCAGUAGCGACCGCCACCCUGGUUACAUUUUAUUUCUGCAUUUAGUAAUUUAAUAAUUAAAUGGUUUAGUUAGAUGAUCCCCUGAAUGUUUGAAUAUUCGUAAACUUGUUUAAGUUGGUGAUUUUCCGUUAUGCAUGUGAUUGGGGAUUUAUGGAUCUGUGGCUUUGGUUUUAUGGAUAAUUGGUUCUUGGAUUUAUGUAUUUAUGCAUCGUGGUUUUCUAUCCCUCGAGGUAGUCGGUUUUCAAAAUAGAGUUUCUGAGUGGGAAAUAAUUUUAAAAGAGUUUUCGAAUGGUUUUAUGGAUGAUUAAUUAGAGUUUAAAAAUAAAGCUUCCAAGUGGAGAGCACUUUUAAGUAGGAUGACUGUUGUACUGUGCAUCGCAUCAUUCAGCGCCUAAGGAGUGUUUUGAGGCAUGCAUCAUCUCUAAGGAUCGCUAGCUGUAUGGAAAUGCAUCGCAUGGAUUGUUUGUGGAUUGGUGAAUGUAGACUGUGGUUGUGAUCUUGAUGUAGCUGUCGGUACGCCGUGCAAAUACAAAGGAGACUCUAUCCGUGUGGACAGAGGAACUUUGUAUUUGUGGCGAGUCUGUACGUCACGUGGGCCAGGUUGAAAAAAAAAAUGAUGGCACAUUUUCCGCAACUCUGAUUUUAAAGAUUGUAUUCAUUUUAAAA